AAGUCGUAACAAGGUUUCCGUAGGUGAACCUGCGGAAGGAUCAUUGAAAAAUGCUGCCUCAUAGGCACUUUUUUUGUGGCUGCCCUCUAAAAGGGGCGCCACAUUUAAGCCACGUGUGAAUGGUUGAACUAAAGAACUGAUGAGCUUUGCUUUGAAUGUUCUGACGAUCCUAUUCUCACACUGCAUGUGCGCGCGAUAGCUGACCCUUUGGGUAAGCCAAUCACGUUCAUUCACUGUUUUCUUUUGUGUAACAGCAAAACACCUUAAAAUUUUAGUCUGAUGAGUUUAAAGGGUUUAAGUCCGAAGGACUUUAACCCUUUUUGCAAAUUUUAUACAACUUUUAACAAUGGAUCUCUUGGCUCUC
rnacentral:misc_RNA from 1 species